GAUCUUAAGAAGUCGUUGGCGCGCAGUCAGAGUUGCUGGCUGAGGAAAAUAAUAAGAAUAAAAAUAUAUAAAAGACGCUGCUGCCACCGGAACAGAAGUCGUGCUAAGGAAAAUCAGAGAAAUAACAGCUGACACUGGAAAAACGAAAACGCACGAGCCACGAAGCCAGGGGAAAAGGAAGCUGAGCAGACGAAAGGAUCACAUCUGAUCGCAUUGCGGUUAAAGCGGAAAAGGUGUCAGAAUUGUGGCAAAACAGCUGUGUAGGGUAUGGGUAAUUUCGGUUUUAAUUGUAACUGCAAUUAGAGAGUUGAGACCAGGGGAUCAAGUGUUUUUAUCCUUAAGGAAAAAGAGUGACAUGUGCGAGACGCCAGAGAAAGAAAGAUCUCAUCUGCUAUGGCGGGUGGCUAUCUCACCUCCUCUAAGCCCUCCUUGGAAAAAUGCUCAUCUUGCGGAAAUCUAGGGAAUAUUUAUCAAUCUGUCACGGCCCGAAAGCCCGUCGAAUGGAGGAUCAUCUCGUUGGCAGAAAAGGCAGGGAAGCAGCCAGCUGUCCAUUUAGGGAAAACGAGUUGCGAGUUAAAAACGUUGUGUGCCAAGAUUUAUGUGAACCCACCACCACCACCACCGCCAGCACCACCCUUCGAGGAAAUUGCUUAUUGCGCACUUAAGGGGCUGUCAGAGAUCCCGUUCCAAGGACCAAGAAACGAGGAGCUAGGACCUCGCCAACGCCACCACCCCGUGAGGCGGGACCGGCUGCUUCUUUUACUGCCACCGCCAGGACAAUGGAAGAGGCCACCCCAUACCACCCAUUUUUUAGGCGAGUAUCUCUUCCUCCCUCUUGACAGUUCUCUUGGGAUUUUAACUCCUCGAAAAAGGACACAAAAAACUCGAAGGAGGAGGGAAGUUGCUGCGCAGUUUGGGAACCAGCAAAAGAUACAAGAAAAAAAAGCUUGACAGCUGCCUCGGGACUUCCCAUUUAAUGAGCUUUGUGAGUGAGCGGAACUAAUUUCCAUUAUAUUCCAAAAGAAAAGGUUCAGCUGGCAUAUAUCCCAACCAUUCUCUUCGGCUUCCAUUUGGGAACUAUCUUGGGGACUAUCUUAAUCUCGGCAUAAACACUGAUACAUCAUCAUCGUCGGGGCAUAAACUUCAAUUCACGUUCGCUGCUUAAGUCUUUCGAUUUUCAAUUCAAGUUCGCUGCCUAAGUCGUUCGAUUGGCAGCUCUCAGCAUAAAUUAUGUUUAUUUUUUUUGGGACCCAAAAUAAAGACCAAACGGAGGAUUACACACGCUUUAAAAAAACUCCCACAAGAAGCUGGUAACUGGGGGAAAAAAAUAUCUGUGGCUACUUGGCAUAAACUUAACUGUUCAUUCAAAUAAAAAUUAAACUAUUAAAUGCUCAGCUCCGGUGGAGAAAUGAGCUUAGACGCAUAAACGAUUAACAUACAUGAAACGAAAAAAAAGAGACACACACGACGGCCUCGAAAACUGAAGCGUUUCAAAAAAUAUAUAUACAUUUAUAUAUGUGUAUAUAAAGCUGAUCAAUAAAAUAUAACAAUCAUGCGAUCAAAAAUCUUUCACAAACACAAAUACCUUUCUGGCUGGCCACUCCACGCCACUCCAUUCACCUGUAAAAGUGUGGGAAACCAUAGAAAUAAGAGAGCGCGCCAAAAGGCGAGAGCCCAAAAAGAAAACGUUGAAAAUUCAAAUUAGCCCGAGACUCGUAAAUAAAAGAUAUUAUAGCCAAUCGAGCAAUAAAACCAGUUAAUCUCUAAAUGUGCCGAGACCCCGUCUCUUCUUUCUCCGAAUCUCUGACUGACUCUGUCUCCGGCUCUAUCUCAAUCUGAGGAAGCCACUCCGUCCAGUCCAGCUCAUCAAAGUGGUUCGGCCUACAUCUGGAGCUUGGGUCUGAUCGGAGAUCGGAGAACGGAGUCUAGAGGUUUUUACGAUCUGCAACAACCUGCCCCAUGGCCAUGGGCAAAAUCAGUUAGACUCUCAGGCGGGUGUAGGAUUCACCUCCGGUUGCUCUCGAAUCUGGAAUCUCUCCUCAUCCUCAUCCUCAGCCAGCUUCUGGCUUCUGCUCGAUCAUCAUCUUCUUGGCAAUCAAAUCAAUUUUAUGCCGCUGUUGCAUUUUUUAUGGCAUUUCUAACACACA